CCCUUAGAUGUUCUGGGCUGCACGCGCGCUACACUGAUGCACUCAACGAGUUUACGACCUUGCCCGAUAGGGUUGGGUAAUCUUUUUAAAAUGCAUCGUGAUGGGGAUAGAUUAUUGCAAUUAUUAAUCUUCAACGAGGAAUUCCUAAUAAGCGCGAGUCAUCAGCUCGUGCUGAUUACGUCCCUGCCCUUUGUACACACCGCCCGUCGCUCCUACCGAUUGAGUGCUCAGGUGAAUAAUUCGGACUGCAGCAAUGUUUGGAUCCCGAACGUUGCAGCGGAAAGUUUAGUGAACCUUAUCACUUAGAGGAAGGAGAAGUCGUAACA
rnacentral:rRNA from 1 species